GAGUUUGAUCCUGGCUCAGGACGAACGCUGGCGGCGUGCUUAACACAUGCAAGUCGAACGGUAAGGCUCCAGCUUGCUGGGGUACACGAGUGGCGAACGGGUGAGUAACACGUGGGUGACCUGCCCUGCACUUCGGGAUAAGCCUGGGAAACUGGGUCUAAUACCGGAUAGGACCGCACCGUGAGGGUGUGGUUGGAAAGUUUUUUCGGUGU
rnacentral:rRNA from 1 species